rnacentral:rRNA from 1 species
UGCAAGUGAACGGUCACAGGCCUGAGGGAUCCCUUCGGGACCUUGGCGCUGACGAGUGGCGGACGGGUGAGUAACGCGUAGGAAUCUGCCUGGCAGCGGGGUGACAACUCCGGGAAACCGGAGCUAAUACCGCAUACGCCCUACGGGGGAAAGACGGGGAUCUUCGGACCUGUCACUGCCAGGUGAGCCUGCGUCGGAUUAGCUUGUUGGUGGGGUAACGGCCUACCAAGGCGACGAUCUGUAGCUGGUCUGAGAGGAUGACCAGUCACACUGGGACUGAGACACGGCCCAGACUCCUACGGGAGGCAGCAGUGGGGAAUAUUGAACAAUGGGCGCAAGCCUGAUCCAGCAAUGCCCGGUGUGUUAAGAACGGCUUCGGGUUGUAAAGCACUUCAAUCGGGGAAGAAAAGCUUCGGGUAUACCCCGAUGUUUUGACGGUACCGAUACAAAAAGCCCGGUUAACUCCGUGCCGCAG